UACGUAGGGUCCGAGCGUUGUCCGGAAUUAUUGGGCGUAAAGGGCUCGUAGGCGGUUUGUCGCGUCGGGGAGUGAAAACACCGGGCUUAACUCGGUGCUUGCUUUCGAUACGGGCAGACUGGAGGUAUGCAGGGGAGAACGGAAUUCCUGGUGUAGCGGUGAAAUGCGCAGAUAUCAGGAGGAACACCGGUGGCGAAGGCGGUUCUCUGGGCAUUACCUGACGUGAGGAGCGAAAGUGUGGGGAGCGAACAGG
rnacentral:rRNA from 1 species